AGUCAGUGGAAAUUAAAACAUACUUCCUGGGGAUGAUAAGGGGCCCACAGAGCCGUCUUUGUUGGUUUAAAUCCACCAAGACGAGCAGCUUGAAUCACAUGGGAUUCCCUUAUGAGUCUUCCAUAGAGGACUGUUUCACUGGCAUACAGGCUGAAUCUGGGAGGGUUACAGAAUUCAUCUCCUGUAACCGAAUGGAGACAUCAUUCAUCAUGCCACAUUAUUUUGUG